CGAGUUCCGUUUCGUUCCGACGCCGUCGCCAAUGGCUGCCUGAACGUCGACCCAGUCUCAGUCUCGCGCCGCAUUUUGAGCGAUUCGGAAGUGUUUUUUUGAGAUACUGAGUAAAACACACAGAUAUAUAUACAUAUAUGCUUAUAUAUUACUAUACAUAUGUAUAUGUUUUCUCAAUAGAGUGCUCGUCGCGCGUGUUACAGAUUUGAAAGCAUAAAUUUCGCAUUUCACAUAUAUAAUAAUUACCGCUAUAUAUGUUUCCGUCUUUAUAAAUAAAGCGUGUAAUUAAACAUUUGUGCAAGAGGGGCUCUCUUACAUUGAAACUAAUUGCAUUGCAGCAAUGAUUAUGCAUUAGCCAAAGCAUUUGCUAAGCGACCUUAAAAUAAAGUGAAUUCUGAAAUACAACGAAUCGAG